rnacentral:rRNA from 1 species
UACGGAGGAUGCGAGCGUUAUCCGGAUUUAUUGGGUUUAAAGGGUGCGUAGGCGGCGCUUCAGGUCAGCGGUGAAAUACCGGGGCUCAACCCCGUCGAGCCGUUGAAACUGGCAGACUUGAGUUGGCGAGAAGUACGCGGAAUGCGCGGUGUAGCGGUGAAAUGCAUAGAUAUCGCGCAGAACUCCGAUUGCGAAGGCAGCGUACCGGCGCCAGACUGACGCUGAGGCACGAAAGCGUGGGUAUCGAACAGG